AUUGGUACUUUAACAACGGCACUGACCUUUCCAUUGUAAUUAGUAAGUGCUAUUUGUUGGGGUAGUUUGA
rnacentral:pre_miRNA from 1 species